UCAGGACGAACGCUGGCGGCGUGCCUAACACAUGCAAGUCGAGCGAGGAGAUUCCUUCGGGAUGAUCCUAGCGGCGGACGGGUGAGUAACACGUGGGCAACCUGCCUCAUAGAGAGGAAUAGCCUUCCGAAAGGGAGAUUAAUACCUCAUAACAUUGCAGUUUCGCAUGGAACAGCAAUUAAAGGAGCAAUCCACUAUGAGAUGGGCCCGCGGCGCAUUAGCUAGUUGGUGAGGUAACGGCUCACCAAGGCGACGAUGCGUAGCCGACCUGAGAGGGUGAUCGGCCACAUUGGGACUGAGACACGGCCCAGACUCCUACGGGAGGCAGCAGUGGGGAAUAUUGCACAAUGGGGGAAACCCUGAUGCAGCAACGCCGCGUGAGUGAUGACGGCCUUCGGGUUGUAAAGCUCUGUCUUCAGGGACGAUAAUGACGGUACCUGAGGAGGAAGCCACGGCUAACUACGUGCCAGCAGCAGC
rnacentral:rRNA from 1 species